CCUACGGGAGGCAGCAGUGGGGAAUAUUGCACAAUGGGCGAAACCCUGAUCCAGCGACGCCGCGUGAGUGAAGAAGGAUUUCGGUAUGUAAAGCUCUGUCAUCAGGGAAGAAAAGAACGGUACCUGACCAAGAAACCCCGGCGAACUACGUGCCAGCGGCGGCGGUAAUACGUAGGGGGCAAGCGUUAUCCGGAUUUGCUGGGGGUAAAGGGAGCGUAGACGGGAGGUCAAGUCUGGAGUGAAAGGCGGGGGCUCAACCCCCGGACUGCUGUGGAAACUGGCAGGCUGGAGUGCAGGAGAGGUAAGUGGAAUUCCUAGUGUAGCGGUGGAAUGCGUAGAUAUUAGGAGGAACACCAGUGGCGAAGGCGGCUUACUGGACUGUAACUGACGUUGAGGCUCGAAAGCGUGGGGAGCAAACAGGAUUAGAUACCCCUGUAGUC
rnacentral:rRNA from 1 species